rnacentral:rRNA from 1 species
UACGUAGGGUGCGAGCGUUAAUCGGAAUUACUGGGCGUAAAGCGUGCGCAGGCGGUUUUGUAAGCCAGAUGUGAAAGCCCCGGGCUCAACCUGGGAAUGGCAUUCGGGACUGCAAGGCUUGAGUGCGGCAGAGGAGACUGGAAUUCCUGGUGUAGCAGUGAAAUGCGUAGAUAUCAGGAGGAACACCAGUGGCGAAGGCGGUGCUCUGGGCCGGAACUGACGCUGAGGAGCGAAAGCGUGGGGAGCAAACAGG